ACACACACACACACAAAGCACCAGAGGACUCAAGUCACAUGACUUGGAUUCCAGUCUGACUCUUUAGUCAUAAAGUUUAUGACUUGAGACUCGACUUGAUGAAACAUAAAAUAACUGGGAGACUUGACAUGGACUUACAGUCUCGACACUCUGGACUCGACUUCGACUUGAGACGGAUGACUUCUCCGUGGAUUACUCUCCACGCAGCCAGAGACAGUAUCGUACUUGCAAAAAAGUUGAUUGGCACACUCAACCCUCUGAUUGGACCAGCAAGCUGUCAAUCAAUACAGUUCUGGUGAGCUUGCACAGUGAGAAGGUUGUGGGGGGUUGUAAAAGUGAAACUGAAAGGGAUUUAUUUUCUUCAUUUUCUUCAUAUUUUCUACAUAUGACCUACUAUUUCUAUAUGAUAUCUUUUCUUAUUCGAUCUGGUCACUAACAUAAACCUGUGGCAUUCCACCACAUCCUUAUUAAAAAACACCUAAUCUAUUUCUAUAUGAUAUCUUUCCUUAUUCGAUCUUGUCACUAACAUAAACCUGUGGCAUUCCACCACAUCCUUAUUAAAAAACACCUCAUCUAUUUCUAUAUGAUAUCUUUCCUUAUUCGAUCUUGUCACUAACAUAAACCUGUGGCAUUCCACCACAUCCUUAUUAAAAAACACCUCAUCUAUUUCUAUAUGAUAUCUUUGCUUAUUCGAUCUGGUCACUAACAUAAACCUGUGGCAUUCCACCACAUCCUUAUUAAAAAACACCUCAUCUGUGCUUCAGAACCAAAAGAAAUUGUGAAAGAAAGAAAGAAAUUGCCUUGACUGUUGACCAAUGACCAGUCAUCGGCAUUGGCGGGCGCACAUACCCAGAUUAGUGGCCAGAAAGCGCUUGUUUAAUUUUCUCCGGUUUUGCCUGGCAAAAAAACAGAGUAGCUUAAUAAUGUAUAAAGUUCCGUAUAACGUACAUAUAAAGUACCGUUUAGCAAUCUGCUACAGACACAACUCUGUCACAACAGUACCGUUUAGCAAUCUGCUACAGACACAACUCUGUCACAACAGUACCGUCUAGCAAUCUGCUACAGACACAACUCUGUCACAACAGUACCGUUUAGCAAUCUGCUACAGACACAACUCUGUCACAACAGUACCGUUUAGCAAUCUGCUACAGACACAACUCUGUCACAACAGUACCGUCUAGCAAUCUGCUACAGACACAACUCUGUCACAACAGUACCGUCUAGCAAUCUGCUACAGACACAACUCUGUCACAACAGUACCGUCUAGCAAUCUGCUACAGACACAACUCUGUCACAACAGUACCGUUUAGCAAUCUGCUACAGACACAACUCUGUCACAACAGUACCGUCUAGCAAUCUGCUACAGACACAACUCUGUCACAACAGUACCGUUUAGCAAUCUGCUACAGACACAACUCUGUCACAACAGUACCGUCUAGCAAUCUGCUACAGACACAACUCUGUCACAACAGUACCGUCUAGCAAUCUGCUACAGACACAACUCUGUCACAACAGUACCGUCUAGCAAUCUGCUACAGACACAACUCUGUCACAACAGUACCGUUUAGCAAUCUGCUACAGACACAACUCUGUCACAACAGUACCGUUUAGCAAUCUGCUACAGACACAACUCUGUCACAACAGUAGGCUUCCUGGUGAUGUCACUCAUCAUCGUCAUAUUUCAGAUAGUCCUAGUUCGGAGGGUAAUAAUGGUUUAACUGGUAACAUGGAUCAACGUGUGACAUAUUCUGGGAAGUUAAAGGAAAAUUCCAACCAAAAAAAACAAUAUUUUGAUAUUUGAUUCAUUAGUUCAUUGCUGACAAGCAAAACAUUUUGGGACUGUCACCAAUCCAGUUUUCAAGAUACGUAACUUUCAAAAUGUCAGUUCAAAACGCAGGUGUAAAACGCAGUUUAUUUCUGUAUCUUGUCGGUUGAAAACGCAUCACUAUUUAUGACUGUAAUGACAGGCUACAUUUGCGCAGUGAUUGUGCGGGGUGGCCUGUUUGAAAACCGCUGAGCUCGCGAACAGUUGGCUAAUUUGCUGUACAGCUAUAGAAAUGGGUGCAGCGCAAACGUGAAAUUGAAGGGAGAGGUGACUGCCAUAGAUGAAUAUGGAGACUCCAGAAAUGGUUUGGUGAUGAAGGGAGAGGUGACUGCCAUAGAUGAAUAUGGAGACUCCAGAAAUGGUUUGGUGAUGAAGGGAGAGGUGACUGCCAUAGAUGAAUAUAGAGACUCCAGAAAUGGUUUGGUGAUGAAGGGAGAGGUGACUGUCAUAGAUGAAUAUGGAGACUCCAGAAAUGGUUUGGUGAUGAAGGGAGAGGUGACUGCCAUCGAUGAAUAUGGAGACUCCAGAAAUGGUUUGGUGAUGAAGGGAGAGGUGACUGCCAUAGAUGAAUAUGGAGACUCCAGAAAUGGUUUGGUGAUGAAGGGAGAGGUGACUGCCAUAGAUGAAUAUGGAGACUCCAGAAAUGGUUUGGUGAUGAAGGGAGAGGUGACUGCCAUAGAUGAAUAUUGAGACUCCAGAAAUGGUUUGGUGAUGAAGGGAGAGGUGACUGCCAUAGAUGAAUAUGGAGACUCCAGAAAUGGUUUGGUGAUGAAGGGAGAGGUGACUGUCAUCGAUGAAUAUGGAGACUCCAGAAAUGGUUUGGUGAUGAAGGGAGAGGUGACUGUCAUCGAUGAAUAUGGAGACUCCAAAAAUGGUUUGGUGAUGAAGUAUAUGAACCGUUUACGUUGCUCCCCAGCAAUGGGGCAUCAAGCAUCACUUACUAACACAGGACUAUUGGUGUUUUUCUAUGUCGAAAUUACUUUAAAUGUAUCAUUGACUUUAAAUGUAUCAUUGACUUUAAAUGUAUCAUUGACUUUAAAUGUAUCAUUGACUUUAAAUGUAUCAUUGACUUAAGAAGCUUGGAUUUGGAAUUUGUUGAAAUGAAUUAUUACAUCAUAACAAUGUGUUGUAGACAAAAGAAAAAAGGUCUGUCUAGUAGCCUCAAUAAAUAAACAAAGAUUUGUAAUUGAAUAAAUCAUUUUCUGUAUUUAAAAAAAAAA